rnacentral:lncRNA from 1 species
GCCGUAGCAGGUUCCUCUUCCUCCUCUAAAUUUACAUCACAACAUACCCAUUUGUAAUUCCUGAUAAUAUUCUUCUACACUUUGAGAACCUUGUCUCAAUUGCUGCAACUUAUGUAACAAAUCAUGUGCAUAGUAAGAAGGAACAAAUCUAGCCUGCAUGAUUCUCUUCAAUGCACCCCAAGUUCGAGGUAUGUUAUUAGGAUUCUUCUUUCCAUGUUCUAUCCACCAAACUGAGGCAAAAUUAGUAAACUCACUAGUAGCAUCUCUAACACGAGUAUCCUCAGGAAAUUCAUGGCAUGCAAACUUUUGAUCAACAACAAUCUCCCAAGUAAUGUAAGUAUCAGGAUCAUAUUUACCAUCAACAGGAGGUAUUUUAAAUUUAAUCUUAUUGAAAGCAUCAUUAUUAUAGUGUACCUCACGUCAGCGGUGGCCACCCAUAUCUCUACGGUUGUGAUGUAGGCGACGUCGAUCACAAGUGUCUUGAUCAUCCCAUUCAGUAUCAGCAGUGUAAUCAUCAUCAUACUUGUUGUCCACUCGUUCUUCCUCCCUGUUUUCUUUCUUAUGCUUCUCUUUAUCUAUUGUGUGGAAAUCAUCAAAACACUUGAGAAGCGCAACAAGACUUUUAUCCACAUUAGCAACAGCUGCCUCCACCUUUGUAAGCUUGUCAUUAGUGGCAAUCUGUGUGGCCUCCAACUACCCUAGCUUUUCAUUCGUCACUUGCAAGUCAUUAUCAAGCCCCUCUGUGUGCAGCUUCACUUGCCUUUCAAAAUGUUGUAUGAUGCCCUUAGUGCGACGUGACUGUAGAAUCUUGUUGACUUCCUCUGUUUCUAACAUGGUUUUUUAAAAAAUAGUGGAAACAAGAAAAUAAGUGAAGAAAUAGAAGCCCUACAACUAUUAGGAUGUAGCUACAAUAAGGCGCUCACUCUCAGCCUGUUGGACAAGUUCUUACCAAUUCUUACCUUGCUCAACAGGAGGUAUCAGCUACCGAUAAGUCUGCAGCAAUGGAAUGAAGUGUAUCGGUGCCGCAGCAACAAGACCUGUCAAGUUGUAGAAUAUGUGGAGCUAUAGGUGGGCUAAAAACAAGGAACAACUAGCACCACGUUAAUUACAAUAGCAAGUUGAGAAAUCAUUCCACGGUGGUACCGUGCUGGUCGUAGGCUACACCGUGCUAGAGACGCGAGCCUACACACAAACGGAGUCACUGUAUAGUUGGAAACAGCACAAGAAUAGCAACAGCAACAUAUUACUCCCCUUUUCUUUUUGUUUUCUCUUCUUUUCAUUCUUUUCCUUUUCUUUUUCUUUUUGUUCUCUUUUUUUUCUUUUCUCUUCUUUCUACCCUUUGUUCUUCUUUUCCUUUACUUUGCAAAACUAGGACAAAUCUGAAUCCUGACAAAUCAGAUUUCAAAUAGAAACAACUUACAAAGUAUUUUUGUUUCUUUUUAGCGAGUAAAGGUGGAUAUGGAGUAACAAAGAAAAAAUAUGGCAGUAAAGAUUGCAAUUGAGAUAAAUAUGGUGCAAUGGAUAUGUAAUAUAUGGUGGUGGUGAUGACAUCGAGAUGAAAAUGAUGGAUAGGACCAAAACAUGACAAGAACUCAAAACUCUAAAAGCCUAACCCUAAGAGUAGCAACUUAACUGAACCGAAGUAAAUCAAACACAACAAGCCCUAACUAAGUAGUACUAGCCAAGGCUCAAAGUGUUUAUAGGACUGUGGGAAAACUAAUCUACUACUGUUUUUGGCUUUUUAUUGGAACUAUGGGAAAAGUAAAACAGUAAAGAACUGAAAGUCUCUCACCGAUAAACCUUGAUUUGAUUACCAACUGAUAAGAAUCUGCUAGGGUUUUUGCCCAAUCUUUAGAUGAGAGAUGCUGGGUAACUCGAUUGGUGAAAGGAGUUGACAUUCACGGUCCGACUACAGCCCUCCAAGGCCACGCCUUAGCAACCGAUACACCACCUCCAAUGGUUGUCACGAUCUUGUGGAGCGCGACAACCAGCCACUAGGGCACUCGUCCUGCAAGCAAUCGAAGAACCAGCAAGAACAUGUAGAACAAGUACUGAAUUACUAGAUGUAAACAAAGGUUUCAAACUCAAUCUCCCAUGAAGUGGGGUUCCGAAAAUAAGAAGACGGACGGCUGGAUCAGCACGCGCGUUUACAAGCAAGUAACAAAGGCUAGACUUGAUCUAAUCAAAACCCAACUGUGUGGCGGCGGCUGUAGGGACCUUAAGUACCCUAAAGGAUGACCAAAGGAGGUCUAGGGUCACGGUUUAGCCCUAGGACACGUCCCUAAUAGAUCCAACUUGAUACAUGGGCCAUCAGCCCAAAAUAAGGUGACUCCACACCCUAGACAGCAAGACCUCUUGAUGGUAAUUGGAUCUUUGCCGCUGCUGCCUAAUAGAUAUUGUCGUGGGACUGGACUCAUAUGAAAGUAGACUUUAUAAGCUUUCCAACAAGUCCUGAAGCACCCCAAUCCGAAUUCCUAUGCAACCGUGGUGAUGGUCACAAGUUGGCGCUUUGCUUCAGUCCGAAUCCAGCCAACGUGGGUGUCCCUUUCAGUCUUCUCCUUGGUUCUUGAUUAUUAAGUUGCCGAGCACAAGUACGAGUAAGAGGACCAGCAAUAGGUACUAGUGCCAGCGGCAUGGAUGCAUCGCUGGUGUUGAUGUCCUCAUCACUUCACUAGCCUUUGAAAAUGUUGUAUGAUGCCCUUAGUGCGAGGUGAGUGCAGAAUCUUGUUGACUUCCUCUGUUUAGAUGAUGAAAUAAAAGCCCUACAGCUAUUAGGAUGUGGCUACAAUAAGGCGCUCACUCUCAACCUAUUAGACAAGUUCUGACCAAUUCUUACCUUGCUCAUCAGGAGGGGUCGGCUACCGACAAGUCUGCAGCAGUAGAGCGAAGUGUAUCGGUGCCGCAGCAACAAGACCUGUCAAUCUAUAGAAUAUGUGGAGCUAUAGGUGGGCUAAAAACAAGAAACAACUAGCACCACGUUAAUUACAAAAGCAAGUUGAGAAAUCAUUCGAUGGUUGUACCGUGCUGGUCCUAGGCUAGACCGUGUUAGAGAUGCGAGCCUAGACACAAAUGGAGUCACUGUACAGUUGGAAACAACACAAGAAUAACAACAGCAACCUAUUACUCCCCUUAUCUUUUUGUUUUCUCUUCUUUUCCUUUUCUUUUUCUUUUUGUUUUCUUUUUUUCUUUUCUCUUCUUUCUACUCUUUCUUCUUCUUUUCCUUUACUUUGCAAAACCAGGACAAAUCUAAAUCUUGACAAAUCAGAUUUCAAAUAGAAACAACUUACAAAGUAUUUUUGUUUCUUUUCAAUGAGUAAUGGUGGAUAUGGUGUAACAAAGAGAAAAAUAUGGCAGUAAAGAUUGCAAUUGAGAUAAAUAUGGUGUAGUGGAUAUGUAAUAUAUGGUGGUGGUGAUGACAGCGAGAUGAAAAUGAUGGAUAUGACCAAAACAUGACAAGAACUCGAAACUCGAAAAGCCUAACCCUAAGACCAGCAACUUGACUCAACCGAAGUAAAUCAAACAGAACAAGCCCUAACUAAGUAGUACUAGCCAAGGCUCAAAGUGUUUAUAGGACUGUGGGAAAACUAAUCUACUACUAUUUUUGUCUUUUUAUUAGAACUAUGGGAAAAGUAAACAGCAAAGAAUUGAAAGUCUCUCACCGAUAAACCUUGCUCUGAUUACCAAUUAAUAUGAACCCGCUUGGGUUUUUGCCCAAUCUUUUGAUGAGAGGCGCUGGUAGCUCGAUUGGUGAAAGGAGUUAACGUUCGCGGCCCGACUACAGCCCUCGAAGGCCACGCCUUAGCAACUGAUACACCACCUCCAAUGGCUGUCACGAUCUUGUGGACUGCAACAACCAGCCACUAGGGAACUCGUCCUAUAAGCAAUCGAAGAACCAGCAAGAACAAGUAGAACAAGUACUGAAUUACUAGAUAUAAACAAAGGUUUCAAACUUGAAUCUCCAAUGAAGCGGGGUUCCGAAAACAAGAAGACAAGCGGCUGGAUCAGCACGCGCAUUUACAAACAAGUAGCAAAGGCUAAAC